rnacentral:rRNA from 1 species
GACGUAGGGCGCGAGCGUUGUCCGGAUUUAUUGGGCGUAAAGAGCUCGUAGGCGGCUUGUCGCGUCGACCGUGAAAACUUGGGGCUCAACCUCAAGCCUGCGGUCGAUACGGGCAGGCUCGAGUUCGGUAGGGGAGACUGGAAUUCCUGGUGUAGCGGUGAAAUGCGCAGAUAUCAGGAGGAACACCGAUGGCGAAGGCAGGUCUCUGGGCCGAUACUGACGCUGAGGAGCGAAAGCGUGGGGAGCGAACAGG